CCUUCUCCCAAACGCCGCCGUUAAAGUUCUGUCGCCCUUCAGAUCAGUUGUCCCUCUGGAAAGUUCCACGGUGUUCUUAACACCACCGCCAUGGGACUAACAAAUUUGGUCUGGUUGUUGAAGCGAAGGGAAACUGGUGAGUGGGUGAAUUUGAAGUGGUCGUUACUUCGUGUGAAGUUGAAUAUGCUUAGUUACAGAUGGCACCUUCCUUCAGCAGGUGCUUUGAAGUUUUUAAUCAAUGAGCCCCUGUAGAAUCUUGGACCAAGGUGGACUGUAAAAAUUAGGAAAAUUCCUUGAAGAACUUACUUUAGCGCCCUCGCAGCUGUGGCUGGAAUACAUAAUGAAUCCAAACAGGUAGAAACUUGGUUCACCCUGUC
rnacentral:lncRNA from 1 species